CAGGGACAGCUUCAGGAAGGACUCCAACUUCAAGCAUGUCCCCAUGGUUGGCAAGGGCGGUGGUGAGAAGUGGAAGUAUCUUGAGUGAUGUUGAGAAGGCUCCCUAAUUGCCAAGGCCAAGUACACCAAGAA